GACGAAGGUGGCAAGCGUUGUUCGGAAUCACUGGGCAUAAAGCGCACGUAGGCGGUGCCGUAAGUCGGAUGUGAAAUCCCUCGGCCUAACCGAAGAACUGCGUCCGAUACUGCGGUGCUUAAGGAUCAGAAGGGUGCAUGGAAUUUCCGGUGGAGCGGUGAAAUGCGUUGAUAUCGGAAGGAACUCCGGCGGCGAAAGCGAUGCACUGGCUGAUUUCUGACGCUAAGGUGCGAAAACCAAAAAAGCAAACGGG
rnacentral:rRNA from 1 species